GAUGAACGCUGGCGGCGUGCUUAACACAUGCAAGUCGAACGGACUUUACAUUUUUGAAGCAAUUAGCUUGCUAAGGGUGGAAAUGUUGUAAAGUUAGUGGCGGACGGGUGAGUAACGCGUGGGUAACCUGCCUUAUACCGGGGGAUAACAGUUAGAAAUAGCUGCUAAUACCGCAUAAGCGCACAGUAUCGCAUGAUACAGUGUGAAAAACUCCGGUAGUAUAAGAUGGACCCGCGUCUGAUUAGCCAGUUGGUGAGGUAACGGCUCACCAAAGCGACGAUCAGUAGCCGGCCUGAGAGGGUGAACGGCCACAUUGGGACUGAGACACGGCCCAAACUCCUACGGGAGGCAGCAGUGGGGAAUAUUGGACAAUGGGGGAAACCCUGAUCCAGCGACGCCGCGUGAGUGAAGAAGUAUUUCGGUAUGUAAAGCUCUAUCAGUAGGGAAGAAAAUGACGGUACCUAACUAAGAAGCCCCGGCUAACUACGUGCCAGCCGCCGCAGUAAUAC
rnacentral:rRNA from 1 species